rnacentral:rRNA from 1 species
CCUACGGGGGGCAGCAGUAGGGAAUAUUGCUCAAUGGGGGAAACCCUGAAGCAGCAACGCCGCGUGGAGGAUGAAGGUUUUCUGAUUGUAAACUCCUUUUGUUAGAGAAGAUAAUGACGGUAUCUACCGACUAAGCACCGGCUCACUCCGUGCCAGCAGCCGCGGUCCUUAGGAGGGAGCAAGCGUUACUCGGAAUCACUGGGGGUAAAGAGCGCGUAGGCGGGAUAGCAAGUCAGAUGGGAAAUCCUAUGGCUUAACCAUAAAACUGCAUUUGAAACUGGUGUUCUAGAGUAUGGGAGAGGUAGGUGGAAUUCUUGGUGUAGGGGUAAAAUCCGUAGAGAUCAAGAAGAAUACUCAUUGCGAAGGCGACCUGCUAGAGCAUAACUGACGCUGAUGCGCGAAAGCGUGGGUAGCAAACAGGAUUAGAUACCCCAGUAGUC